AUUGAACGCUGGCGGCAGGCCUAACACAUGCAAGUCGAACGAGUGGCGGACGGGAGAGUAAUGUCUGGGAAACUGCCUUAUGGAGGGGGAUAUCUACUAGAAACUGUAUCUAAUACCGUAUACCAUCAGCUGUGCCCAGAUGGGAUUAGCUUGUUGGUGGGGUAAGGUCUCACCAGGGCGACGAUCCCUAGAUGGUCUGAGAGGAUGACCAGCCACACUGGAACUGAGACACGGUCCAGACUCCUACGGGAGGCAGCAGUGGGGAAUAUUGCACAAUGGGCGCAAGCCUGAUGCAGCCAUGCCGCGUGUAUGAAGAAGGCCUUCGGGUUGUAAAGUACUUUCAGCGGGGAGGCGUUACCCGCAGAAGAAGCACCGGCUAACUCCGUGCCAGCCGCCGCGGUAAUAC
rnacentral:rRNA from 1 species